rnacentral:lncRNA from 1 species
GCAGCUAAUACUCUGGAUGGAAGGAUCCAUAGAUAGACUCUGCUUCUUCCCACUGGGCUACUCCCAUGGAUUUUACCAAUGUUUUCCUGCAUAUGGAGCAAGGCCUUGGAGACGAGGUGACAGAAUGGUAACCUUGGUAUUCACAUCAGAAUGCGCAGCAGGGAUCCAGGAAUAUCUUGCUAGGAUGUAACAAAGCUAAAAAUCCCGCCAGAACCAAACACUGGCCACAGCUUAGCCAGCGUCCAGGUGGGAGACACAAUGACUGGAAACUGGCUUCACUCGAUACACUGGCCUAGCUCCAGGCUCUUCAUGGAUUCCUCCAGCUUCAGCACUCCACUUUGCUGGUGCAGGCGGUACCUCUCAGCCAUGGACUGAAGCAUCCAUUUAGCCCGAACCUUGUUGUUUUGAGAGCCGCAAAUGAAGACCUCGAUAAGUUCUUCGGGAGAUUCCAGGUUCUUCAGCUCAAACAUGGCCUGGCUCACCUGCUUGAUGUGAGACAAUCGAGAUCCCUGUGGGCCAAACAGAUAUUUCAGCACCAGCGACUGGACCUGGAAUACUUCUGGAUCUUUCAGGUCUUCAGGAACUUUCACCCACG